UAUGUGAUCGUCUCUCGCAUAUCAAUAAGCGGAGGAAAAGAAACUAACAAGGAUUCCCCUAGUAACGGCGAGUGAAGCGGGAAGAGCUCAAAUUUGAAAUCUUAAAGGGUUUCCCUUUACGAAUUGUAGUUUAAAGAAGUGUUUUCUGUUGAGGUUUUGGUAAAAGUUCUUUGGAAUAGGACAUCAUAGAGGGUGAGAAUCCCGUAUUUGACCUUUACUUUCAACUUUGUGAUACACUUUCAAAGAGUCGGAUUGUUUGGGAAUGCAGUCCAAAAUGGGUGGUAAAUUUCAUCUAAAGCUAAAUAUUGGCGAGAGACCGAUAGCGAACAAGUACCGUGAGGGAAAGAUGAAAAGAACUUUGAAAAGAGAGUUAAACAGUACGUGAAAUUGUCAAAAGGGAAGCGUUUGACACCAGUGUUGUUUUUCUGAAAAUCAAUUAAAGAACUGUUUAUGCUAAGUUGUUUAGACUUUAUCAGCUAUCUGCUUAGUUUUGAGCUUUUCUUUAGUGCACUUUUCGGUUAACAAGUCAACAUCAAUUUCUUUUGCUGUAAAAAAAGCUUGAGGAAGGUGGCUUGAGAUUCGUCUUAAGUGUUUAUAGCCUCUUGCCUAUGCAGUCGGAGAGAUUGAGGUCUGCAGCGUAGAUCCUUCGGGGCUAAAUGCAUUUGUGCUAAGUUAUAGCAUUUUAUAGACAACUUGUUGACUAUGAUUUGUCUUGUAGCUUACUCGCUUAUGUUAUUUUACCUACGCUUAGGAUGUUGACGCGCGUGUGUGCGUG
rnacentral:rRNA from 1 species